GAAACAGAAGCUCUGGCAAUAGUCGGCUGCUUGCUCAAGGUGACACAGUUAAUGGAGAGGCAGAUCUCUGGAUGCGGCGUCUCAGGGGCCACGCCUGCCUCCCCCGCCGCCGCGCGCAUACACAGAAUUCCUCAUGCUGCUGCUAUCACGGAACUCAGGGUUCAUCUCAAAGAUCUCUCUUUGCAUAAUGUGUGUGUGGACCUGCCUACAGAUACAUUGGGUGGAAGCCCUAGGAGCCUCAAGCAAGUCUGAAGAUUGGCCCUGAGAACCACUGUUCUCAUUAUCAGCAAGGAUUUUAUCCAGAGACCUCUAGGAAUACAUUCACUAAAAUGUGACUGUGGUCCUGUGGUUGUAUGAACUCUGGCUCUUCUCGUGAAUUACAUUUCACUGGAGUCAGGUGUUUUCUGUAAACAUCGUUAAACCACGAGACCAACUGCAUUGAA
rnacentral:lncRNA from 10 species